UUCACGAUUUUUUUCAGAUUUUUUUGUGGAGACCAUCAUUGGGGCUCGCUCUUACGCAACUCUCUUGCUCUUGCGCACGGCGAUGUUCAGAUCAGAGACGCCGGAGAAAAAAAUAUAUUAUUGGGUUCUCUUCGUCACAGAACAUUUUCAGGUUUCAAACGGAGACAAAUCGGUCCUUGAACUUGUUUUCGCCUUUUCUCACUGAUGAUGCUCCUGGUGUUAGCCAUAGUCCGAUCAAGGCGCUGAGGAAAGUGUCGCGAUCGCCGUAUAAGGCAUUCAAUGGCAAAUCAAUUUGUGAGAGAGGAGGAAGAAGAAGAAAUGGAAAGAAAGAGCAGAGUUCGAUACAACCCAUCGCAGGCCAGAAGCAAUGUCAACGGCUGUGGAAUUAACCGUGGUUCAGCGGAAAUGGCUUCUAGGUUUGGUGGGUGGGACGAGUUAGACAGGCAUUACGGAAACAACAGAACAGUGCAGAGAAAGCUAUUGAAGCUUUCAAUCUUUCAGAGAUCUUUGUUCUAUACAAGCUCAAGAAUCACUCGACAAUCGUCAUCCAUCUCUUCAAUGUAUACAAAUCUCACAUCGACAUCAUUCUCCUGUUUGGCUAGCUAUUGUUCUUAAGAUUGUAAAUUUGACAAAAUUGGGAUCCAAACUCUGAGAAGAAAUGUGGGAGAACAGAAGAGCAAGUUGAGCUGUUGAAGCAAAAGCUUCAGAUGAUAUAUCAAGGAGAAGCAUUCAAUGGCAAGCCAACAAAGACAGCAAGAUCUCAUGGGAAGAAAUUCCAGGUCAUGGUCGAGAAGGAAACCUCUAAGAUCUUGGUACGUAUGAGAGAUCAAUCGGCUUGUUGGUGAUACUCUGUGUUUGGAUUGAUGCUUUUAAUACUGAAUAUAAACUUUUUUGUUUAGAACAAAUAUAGCUUACUUCUUGUAAACUGUUUUUUCUUUUCUUAAGAACCUUUAAUGGAGUUCACCAUUGGAGGAACAAAAAA